rnacentral:lncRNA from 1 species
AUAACCUAUCAAAUCAUACCAAAUAAUACAUCAAACCUAAAAUAAUACUAAAAUAUAGUAAAAGCAGGAAUGAUAUGAUAAAUGCACAGCUUGUAUAAAGUAAAAAUGAUACAUAUACAUUCUAGUUUCACUUAGAGCACAUUUAUAUUUUCAGUUAAGCUAUCAUACUGCAUAUGGGAUUUAUUGUAUCUGAUAGUAGCAAAUUUUAAAGACCAUCACAGCUAGUCAACUCCUAUGAUGAGGUCAACCAGAAAGUUGAAUGAUGGGAUUUAGUAGUCCUUAAACUAGACCUCUCCCAAAAAACUAGAUGUAUUGGAUCUGGAAUUGAACUCAGAUCCUUUAGGAUAGUAAGCUAUUGCAUUACCAUGCAGCCAUCUGACUGAUCUGGAUCAAACAGGUCAAAAAUGUUUCUGUGUUCAUAUAAUAAUUGUAAUAAAGUUUUUCCAUAUCCUACCUAAGUUGCUAG